rnacentral:rRNA from 1 species
GUAACGGGGUGUUAGGGCACGACACCGGAGAGGGAGCCUGAGAAACGGCUACCACACCCAAGGAUGGCAGCAGGCGCGCAAAUUACCCAAUCCCGACACGGGGAGGUAGUGACAAUAAAUAACAAUACGGGGUCCUUUCGGGUUUCGUAAUUGGAAUGAGUACAAUUUAAAUCUCUUAACGAGGAACAAUUGGAGGGCAAGUCUGGUGCCAGCAGCCGCGGUAAUUCCAGCUCCAAUAGCGUAUAUUAAAGUUGUUGCAGUUAAAAAGCUCGUAGUUGAAUUUCAGGCCUGGCUGGACGGUCCGCCCUUCGGGUGAGUACUGUCUGUGGUCGGGUCCUACCUUCUGGCGAAGCGUCAUGGCCUUAACCGGCCGUGGCGGGGAACCAGGACUUUUACUGUGAAAAAAUUAGAGUGUUCAAAGCAGGCAAUCGCUUGGAUACAUUAGCAUGGAAUAAUGGAAUAGGACAAUGGUUCUAUUUGUUGGUUUCUAGGACCGUUGUAAUGAUUAAUAGGGAUAGUUGGGGGCAUUAGUAUUCAAUUGUCAGAGGUGAAAUUCUUGGAUUUAUUGAAGACUAACUACUGCGAAAGCAUUUGCCAAGGAUGUUUUCAUUAAUCAAGAACGAAAGUUAGGGGAUCGAAGACGAUCAGAUACC